GGUGCCAGAUAUCAUGGAAAAACAUCUGCAGUAUGUAGCACUGCUGCAUAAAGGCUAACCAAGGACAGGUGGUCAUCUCCUGUGGACCUAAACACUAAACACAGGCUCUUUCAGCAUCACUCAUCAUGUCCAAGUGACAGGUGGGACAGGUGUGACUAGUGAGACAGGUGUGACUACUGUGACAGGUGGGACAGGUGGGACUAAUAGGACAGGUGUGACUAGUGAGACAGGUGUGACUACUGUGACAGGUGGGACUAAUGGGACAGGUGUGACUACUGUGACAGGUGGGACAGGUGGGACUAGUGUGACAGGUGGGACAGGUGUGACAGGUGGGACUAGUGGGACAGGUGUGACUAAUAGGACAGGUGUGACAGGUGGGACAGGUGGGACAGGAGGUUCUCACAAUGACGGUGCCGGACGUCUUCAUGCCGUGCAGCAGGAUGGCCACCAGAGUGAAGACCAGCAUCAUGGGACCGUACAGCUCCCCCGCCACUUUCUGCACACACACACACAC